AUUGCACGCUGGCGGCAGGCCUAACACAUGCAAGUCGAACGAGUGGCGGACGGGUGCGUAAUGUCUGGGAAACUGCCCGAUGGAGGGGGAUAACUACUGGAAACGGUCGCUAAUCCCGCAUACCAUCGGAUGUGCCCAGAUGGGAUUAGCUAGUAGGUGGGGUAAUGGCUCACCUAGGCGACGAUCCCUAGCUGGUCUGAGAGGAUGAACAGCCACACGGGAACUGAGACACGGUCCAGACGCCUACGGGAGGCAGAAGUGGGGAAUAUUGCACAAUGGGCGCAAGCCUGAUGCAGCCAUGCCGCGUGGAUGAAGAAGGCCUUCGGGUUGUAAAGUACUUUCAGCGGGGAGGCGUUACCCGCAGAAGAAGCACCGGCUAACUCCGUGCCAGCAGCCGCGGUAAUUC
rnacentral:rRNA from 1 species